rnacentral:rRNA from 1 species
UACGGAGGGGGCUAGCGUUGUUCGGAAUUACUGGGCGUAAAGCGCGCGUAGGCGGCUUUGUAAGUCAGAGGUGAAAGCCCGGAGCUCAACUCCGGAAUUGCCUUUAAGACUGCAUCGCUAGAAUCAUGGAGAGGUUAGUGGAAUUCCGAGUGUAGAGGUGAAAUUCGUAGAUAUUCGGAAGAACACCAGUGGCGAAGGCGACUAACUGGACAUGUAUUGACGCUGAGGUGCGAAAGCGUGGGGAGCAAACAGG